GGUCAUUCCUGGAAUUGCAUAGGGCCGCGGACUCAUUCGUCCAUCCAAUAGAUAGCGUUGGUUGAGCACCAUAUUGCCAGCCCUCUACCAAGGCUGGGGGUAAAUGGUGAAUGGGAGGGACAGAGUCCUCCACUAGUGGUAUUGACAACCUGUUAGGGAAAGCAAACACUUCAACAAUCUGCUGAAAGAGUGUUGCAGGUCCUUCUAGUUGUGGGAUGUGGGAUGCCGCCUCAACGUGGCCUGACGAGCAGUGCCAUGUCCGCGCUCAGGAUCCGAACCCUGGGCCGCCGCAGUGGAGUGUGCGAACUUAACCAGUUGGCCACAGAGCUGGCCCCCGAAGGGUUUCUUCUUUUUCUGCCUGAAGAUCUACAGAGGCCUGGACUUGCAAUUGGAAUCGCCCUAGCACUCAGGAGCCUGGACGGGCCUGGGAGACUCUGCAUGUGGGGCUCAGACUGGAAGCUGGUCGAUGUCAAGUUGAUGGACAGCCCAAUUUAAAUCUCCAGUCAGGAAAACUUGGGCGAAUCAUUGUUUUCUGCAGAAGUUGACACCUCAGUACGUGCGUUCCAUAAUUUGUGGAGGUGAGGUCCAGUUUAAGGCGUUUCUCACUAAAGGAAAGGAAACUGUGAUUUAUCUUCAUAAGGUCUUCUUUUUCUUUUCCUGAUGUUGAUGAAUGUCUGCAGCUCCUUCACAAGAUGGCCCGAUGAAACAUGCACUGCGGGUUGAUGCGGCAGAAGAGCCCUGACCCUCCAGGAUCUUACAGUUUAGGAAGAAGGAUAUCAUGCCCACAAGUAAUGAGAGUACAAAGCAAAGAUGUUACAAGACGGAGAAGAGCAGAGUAAGGAGCCUGGGAGAGCAGAAAGCACUGUGGCCUGGAGCCUGAAAACCUGAUGAAAGAAAACUAGUCUUUGUUGCAUGACUCUGAGCCUCAGUUUCCUUUUUAAACGAGUCUCUUCUGCUUUCUUCCGGCUCUGGGAUCUGGCAAUCUUCAUACCGAAGAAUUCUGACAUUGACAGGAGGCCCCAGCGAGGCUCACUCUGACAAGAUGGCAGAAAGAGACAGAUGAAGAUGUGGAUUAGGUCCAUUAUCCCUCAGCAUAUGUCGACGUUAAUAAGUGUGUUCUAUGUAGAUUCAUUAAUCCACUUUUCGGAAUUGAAAAUGAGUAUUUCAGAUGCUUAAUGUGAUAGCCUAGAUGCUCUGAGAUCCAAGUCCCCCUGGACACAAUGUUCUUUAAUCUUUUUAAAUGAUCUGUAAUGGAACCUUCGGGUAUGUAAUAGAGAACACAGUCUGUUAUGACUUAUUGACAAGAUUUUCUAAGAAGGGACUCAUUAAAAAAUGUCCCAAAUGAUAUAACUGAAGCUUAUUUUCUUUACUCCAUGGUGAUGUUUUGAAAUGUAACUUUAAAUGGUUCUGCCUUUGUAAAAUUUUUUUUAAAAAGAGAGCAACGUUCUGAUUUUAAUAUAUAUGUUAGCAAAACAAUUUAAAAUAUCUAAGAUGAUCUGUAUGAAAUCUUGUACACUGUUGGAAUUGAGCUGAACCUUGGGUAUAUCUAGUUUGCAUCUGUUUUCAGAAAAGAAAAUUGAGACCUUGAAAGGUAAGUGACUUGUCCAAUGUUACACCGCAAGUUUGGGGUACAAAUGUGACAAAAAUCCAGCUCUACUGAUAGGCAGAACCAUGUGCCGCUCACGAAGCUAUGCUUCAAACUAGCCCAGUGCAAUUCUAAGUUUGCUGUGUAAAACUGCAGACUUGGAAGUAGUAAUCAGAAAAGGGAAAUUCUUUAUUUAGCAAACAGGAGAGGGGUUAGGAGCACAGGCUUUGUGAUGGGAUUCUGUAAGCUUGGGCAGAUUAUCUGCCUCUCUACGUCUCACCUUUUUCAUCUAUGCAAGGGGAUGAAUAAAUGCACCAAGAUGGUAGGACUAUUGUGAGGAUUAAGUGGUGUAAGGCAGGUAAACACAGUAAAUGUUGUUAUUUGAUUGUUAUUAUUUUGUUGAUUUUCGUGUAGGACAACAUGAAUGUUUGCAGAGAAUCUUGCUUCUCUGCUCCAGUUGAUGGCAAAUUCCUAUUUCUUAGCCUGUCAAAUGCUAGACUUUGUGAAAUCUAAGAAAAGCGUAUAUUCCCUCACCACCCAACAUCAACACCCUUUUGGUGAAUUAUUUUCUGUGUUUGAGAUUGAAGGCUAAAAGCUACUCCUAAAGGAGCCGAAGAGUUGGCCAAUUCCCUUCAACAAACAUUUACUGAGCAUCUCUGUAAACAGAAGCAGAUGUGGUUCUACCCUCCAGGGGCUCCUAAAAUGGUAGCAAAGGUAGACAUCUCUAAGUGUCUCUGAUACAGGCUUUAAGACAAGUGUUCUUAUAGAAGGACAAAUAAAGCCAUGUGGGAAAUGAUCUUAUGGAGUGAGAGAAUUAUUCUAAUGGAACACAUGGUAAGAUCUCUGAGAGGUAGGAUCUGGUUCAAAUUUUAAAGAUCUUCAACAAGUAUAUCUUCAACAAGUGUUGUGGUAAGCAGCUUCUAAGAUAGCCCCCAACAAUGCUCACCUUCUGUUACGCGGCCUUGUGUGAUCCCCUCUGCUUGAGAAACUUGCUUCCAUAAAAUACCACAAUAUUGAGGAGAAUUCACUUCCAUGAUUAGAUUAUGAAAGAUUCUGACUUCCAUCUUGACAACUCCCUUCAUUGAUUUUUUUUUUUUUAAAGAUUUACUUUUUCCUUUUUCUCCCCAAAGUCCCCC
ensembl:lncRNA